UACGGAGGGUGCAAGCGUUGUCCGGAUUUAUUGGGUUUAAAGGGUGCGUAGGUGGGGACUUAAGUCUGGUUUGAAAGCAAGCGGCUCAACCGUUUGAUGUGGCUGGAAACUGGGUUUCUUGAAUGGGUUGGCGGUAGCCGGAAUGGGUCAUGUAGCGGUGAAAUGCAUAGAUAUGCCCCGGAACACCGAUUGCGAAGGCAGGCUACUACGACUUGAUUGACACUGAGGCACGAGAGCAUGGGUAGCGAACAGG
rnacentral:rRNA from 1 species